CCCCGGUCCAUCUCCGAUCUCCCCGCACACGGAGGAGGCGAAUCCACGGCGAUGCCCGUCGAAUCUGCUGUCCGGCAUCCCGAUCCGGUCACGGCCCCUCCCCACCCACUCUCCAUCCCAUCCCUUCCGCCACCAUCGCCAACUCUCCUCUUCCUCGGCGCGCCUCCCCAUCCCCCAACCGCGAGAUCUGGUGAGGAGGCAAGGCAGCUGGAGAGCAAGUGCUGGGCAUGGCCCUCUACGAAUCCCGCUUGCCUCGAGUUGAGAUCUAGAGGGAGGGAGAUGGGAGAGGAGGUUGUGGUGGUGGGGUAGUCAGUGCUUGGAGGAUGCAGAGGAGGAUCCGCGCCGCUCGGUCUCCCGUAGUUGCGGCUUGGCCUGUCCCACCGCCCGCCGCGCCAAGCGCUACCCGUCCCAGGUGCGUGUCAUGCAGACCCGUGCCACCCCCUCCUUCUUCUUCCCUUUGCUCUUGGAUGUGGAUUCGUUGUGUCAGAGCAGGGGUCGGACUCGCUGGAUGCAGAAAUCAGGGCUAUUCAGCUAGGUUGUCGCGUUUCAGCUCAUAUCGUAGCAGAAUUCGGGCGGGAUUUGGUGGGGGAGGACGCGGUUUAGCUAUGAUCUUGCAUACAAAUAUUGCUUUUAGCAAUGAUAGCUGUGGCGCAAAAGAAAUGCAGAGAAGAUAAGUUCUCCAUUGUUUAUAAUGAUUCAUUGUACUAAUGUAUUUGAGAAAUUGUGAUACAAUUUGUUUUUUUCUGAGAUGAAACUGAGAUAUAUGAGCACAAAAUCUGAGUUUAAGGAAUUCAGCCCUGUAAAUGCUUAUUUUUCCCUUACAACUUUAAAAUACUGAAAGGUUGACUUGCCUGACAGGUUAGUGUCUUUCUAAGUUUCUGUGUUACUUUAUUCUUCUUUGUAUGUAUAUAUAAUCUGUAGAAAUUUGUCAUCUUGAUUUUAAUUGACUGUACUCUCUAGAGCUACCUAAGAUUGAUUUGUAUUGCCAAUUGCUGAUGUGAACUUUAUAAGUCCCUCUGGUCCCAAUUAUUUUAAUGGGUAAUAUUAAUAUUAUGGCAAAACAGCCUACAAUCUAAACUUAGCACUCCUUCAUGACAGUAUACUCCAUAGAUAUAGAAGUUGCUGACUGUAUACUCCUUAGAUAUAGAAGUUGCUGGCUCCUAUGAUGAGUCUCCCCCGACCCGGUAAGACAAGAAGUACUGCAACUUCAUCACGCCCUACUCAGGUAAGAAAAGCUCAAGGUGUUGUAAACAAAGGCCUUGUUUAGUUUUCAGAAAAUUUUGCAAAAUUUUUCACAUUCCCCAUCACAUCGAAUCUUUAGACAUAUGCAUAGAGUAUUAAAUAUAGAUGAAAAUAAAAACUAAUUGCACAGUUUGGUCGGAAUUGACGAGACAAAUCUUUUGAACUUAGUUAGUCUAUGAUUGAAUAAUAUUUGUCAAAUACAAACGAAAAUGCUACAGUGUCCAUUUCCCAAAAAUUUUCGGAACUAAACAAGGCCAAAGCUCGACAUUACUGGUACAAGUUUACUUCUCCUCCUAUUUGCUUUAUCUUUACUGCAGAAAACACUGUUUUACACUGGAGAUGUGACUUUCAUUCCUAACAGUAUUAGAUCACAUGGUAAAAAUAAUCAAAACUGCUGCUUAAUAGGCUAAUCAUUUAAUCAAUAUAAUUUUUGUAGACUGAACCUAAUAAUCACUUUGUAGCUUGCAUAAACUGAAUCUCUAAUUGAUUUGAUUUCAUCUAAUCGUGCAGUAUAAGUGAUUUUACUUCAGUGUGGUGCUAUAGGUUUCCUCAAAAUAUUUCUUCAAAGUAAAACAACAGAUUAUUGACCAUUUAGGCUGCACAAAGUACCUCAUUAUUUUCUACUUUGCCGUAGGUUCAGAGCAGAUUUGCCUUUGAUACGAAUUGCAAAUACAAUGGCAACUUGCACAUGAAGGUAUGCCUUUGUCCUUUUUAAAUGCCUGUUCAAGUAGAAGUUUCCUCUCUAGUUACUUUUCAAGCAGUUACUAAUUAUUGUUUUGUUAUAUGCUAGCUGAUUUAUUGGAGCAUAAUGGUUUUGCAGGAUCUCAAGAACAGCCCAUAUAUUCAAUGGAGUUACAACUUAUUUAUUUCUAUGUUGCUGCUCAUGUAUUAUUAGCAAUCUUCUAGGAUUGUAGAUCCUUGAGCAGAUGAUUUGUAGCUUAAGUUGUAUCUAAAGUUUGUAAAGAAUUGAUUGCUGAAAUGGAUGGAACAUGUGUAAUGCAUAAAUGACAUAUAUAAAGUUUGUAAAGAAUUUAUUUCUAUGUUGCUGCUCAUGUAUCAUCAGUGACGCGGCUUGGCUGAGUGCGUCACCACAGAAGGUCAGAAGUGACGCGUUUUUGUGCGUCACUGAUGUGUUCACAUCAUAGACGCAAUAAAAGAGACGCGUUUUUGUGGGGCGAGGUCUCAGAUAUUAUGACAAAUAACCAAUGUCAUACCUUAUGACAAAGAAUAUAUAGAUGUCAUAUGAUCC
rnacentral:lncRNA from 1 species